rfam:Salmo salar isolate Sally breed double haploid chromosome ssa15, whole genome shotgun sequence.
AUCUUCAUCCAUUGUAAAUCGCUUUGGAUAAAAGCGUCUGCUAAAUGGCAUAGA